rnacentral:tRNA from 1 species
GACCAUUUAGCUUAAUGGUAGAGCACUCAGCCAGUAUCUGACAGGUACCAGUUCAACUCUUGUAGUAGCCU